UACGUAGGGGGCAAGCGUUGUCCGGAAUCAUUGGGCGUAAAGCGCGUGUAGGCGGCCCGGUCAGUCCGCUGUGAAAGUCGGGGGCUCAACCCUCGAAUGCCGGUGGAUACUGUCGGGCUAGAGUGCGGAAGAGGCGAGUGGAAUUCCUGGUGUAGCGGUGAAAUGCGCAGAUAUCAGGAGGAACACCAAUUGCGAAGGCAGCUCGCUGGGACGUGACUGACGCUGAGACGCGAAAGCGUGGGGAGCAAACAGG
rnacentral:rRNA from 1 species